rnacentral:rRNA from 1 species
UACGAAGGGGGCUAGCGUUGUUCGGAAUUACUGGGCGUAAAGCGCGCGCAGGCGGCUAUCCAAGUCAGUGGUGAAAGCCCGGAGCUCAACUCCGGAACUGCCAUUGAAACUGUUUAGCUUGAGGAUGAGAGAGGUGAGUGGAAUUCCCAGUGUAGAGGUGAAAUUCGUAGAUAUUGGGAAGAACACCGGUGGCGAAGGCGGCUCACUGGCUCAUUACUGACGCUGAGACGCGAAAGCGUGGGGAGCAAACAGG